AAUGAACGUUGGCGGCGUGGAUUAGGCAUGCAAGUCGUGCGAGAAGGGUUUGAUGCUUGCAUUUGACCCGGAAAGCGGCGAAGGGGAGAGUAACGCGUAGAUAUCUACCCCUAGGCCCGGGAUAGCUGCGGGAAACUGCAGGUAAUACCGGAUAAUGUCUCCGGACCAAAGGUGAAAUUCCGUCUAGGGAUGAGUCCGCGUCCUACUAGCUUGUUGGUGGGGUAAUGGCCUACCAAGGCAAUGAUGGGGUAGCGGGUGUGAGAGCAUGGCCCGUCUCACUGGGACUGAGACACUGCCCAGACACCUACGGGUGGCUGCAGUCGAGAAUCUUCCGCAAUGGACGAAAGUCUGACGGAGCGACGCCGCGUGCGGGAUGAAGGCCCUCGGGUUGUAAACCGCUGUCAGUUGGGAGGAAAUGCAUAAGGGUUCUCUCUUAUGUUUGACCGAUCUUCAGAGGAAGUCCGGGCUAAGUUCGUG
rnacentral:rRNA from 1 species